CACGAAUAAAGGAUGUAAAUCCAAGGAACAAAGAGAUCGUGUAGCGUCCAGAUAAGCCUUCAGACAUUCUACUGGACAUAAUGCUGGAGAGUCCAGGAACCUAGGAUAUACAAACGACUUGGAUGCCGAUUUUGUCCUUCUGGAUAUGUUGAAAGUAACAACCUCCGGGGUGAAAACAAUGGCGUCCCAAUCAAGGGCCCUAACAUCAGACACCCUCUUACACGAAACCAAACAGAGUAGCAUCACUAGUUUGGAGGACAAUUGCUUGAGAUUCAGUCCGUGGUUAGGAUACCAUGACGAGAGGAACUGUAACAUGACGUUGACGUCCCAGAAGACAGAGAAACGAGGUCUAGGAGGGCGAGCGAGGUGGAUACCCUUGAGAAGACGACACACAAAAGGAUGCCUGCCGACUGGCGAACCAUCUAAACCACUAUGUCCGGCCGAAAUCGCAGAGCGGGAAAGGUUGAUAGUGCGGUACGCCUUGCCCGUAUCAAACAGUGCCGUGAGGAACUCCAGGAUCAGAUGGAGAGGGGCAGAUACGGGAUCCAUUGCCCGUUCCAUGCACCAAUCAGACCAUGAAUUCCAUGAAGCACGGUAAGCUGAUCUCGUACCGGGAGCCCAGGCGUUAUCGAGGAGCAGGAGAGUUGAUCGUGGAACAUUUGGGACAGCCCAGGUUCCCCUGAAAGCAGGCACGCUACUAGAGGCAAUUGCCGUUGUAGCACCAGACCGUGAGAGUUCCCGUCCGGAUCCAGAAGGAGAUCCUGGAAGCUCGGGAUCAACCGGGGGUAGUCUAUCGACAACUCCAACAGAGUUGGUCGGGAUCUCCACAGAGGAGUGAUCAACGACAGGCAACAAUCGUGAACCAGCUUCGAGAUCGUUCGGGCGAUCAUGUUGAAUGGGGGAAAUGCAUAAAGGCAGCCCGGUGGCCAUUCCUGGAGAAAGGCGUCCGUCGCCACCGCCGCCGGGUCCCGCCUCCAACUGUAAAACUCUGGUAGUUGAGUGUUCAGACGGGACGCGAACAGAUCCAUCCUGAACCGUCCCCAUAGUCUGUCCAGGCCUCGGAAUACCGAAACGUGCAAGUGCCAGUCUCCCGAGUCUCUCAAAUGCCUGGAAUUCCAAUCCGCGUCCGAAUUGUCCAGUCCCGGAAUGUGUUCCGCUGUCACGGAGACAUUGUUGUAAAGGCAAAAUUGCCAAAAAUCCUUCGCCAACAGGGCUAACAUCCUGGACUUGGUGCCCCCAAGGUGGUUUAUAUAGCGCACUGCCGACACGUUGUCCAUCUUGAGGAGAACGCAGCAGUCCGCCCGUCCUGGGGUAAGGCUGCGAAUCGCGAUUGCCCCUGCUAAGAGUUCCAGACAGUUGAUGUGCAGGAAUCUCUCUAUCUCGGACCAUCUGCCUCCUGUGGAAACGUUACCACAGCGAGCACCCCAGCCGUGUAAGCUGGCAUCUGACUCUAUCACCACGUCCGGGACGGAACCGAAGAUGGCCCUCCCGUUCCAGGCUUCCAUGUGUGCCAACCACCAAACCAGUUCGUCUCUGGAUUCCUCGUCCAGUCGUACCCGAGAUUCGUAGGAAUGGCCCGACCGGAGGUGCGAACCCUUG
rnacentral:lncRNA from 1 species